CAGCCUGUUUGAGGCACGGUGGCAUUUCCUGCCUCCGGUCUGGAGCUCGACUGGGCUGCAGCUCGCCCGUAAGCACAAGCAUGCAAAUAAGGGGUAUUAUCUCCCCUAGAUACUCCAAAAAUACGUCCCGUAAGCCCAUUUUUAUGCUAUUUAUAAAUAUGUUGAGAACCUGCACCGUCGAACUGCACGUGCAUGUGAUGAGUGCGCCAGCAGAUGGCACAGCGGAUUUCGUCGACAUCGUGGAGGAGCAGAGAGAAUGUAAAUGCCUUUUCCGUUAUAUUAACGAGUCCCGUAUCUCCAGGUUUACACGUCGACCAAAAUAACGACAUUAACCACCCGACGUGGCAUUGAAACUAGUUCAUAUUGAGAAAUGUAAUGUGAUAUAUUUUGCCUAAAGGUAAACAAUGAUGUCCACACUCCAGAAGCCCAUUUGUCCAGAUAUGAACUGUGUGUUGUAUUUGUUGCCCCCUUGUGGCGAAAGUGAACGAUGUCACUUAAAUACUGUAAAUGCUUCGUGACUACAACAUUGGAUCCAUUUCAAAUGUGUUACUUCAUGACACGUCUGUGCCAUUUUUUGCAAAUCACGACAAAGCACUUUGCACUCACUUCCCCGGUGUCAUUAUGAAUGAGGGGUCACCCGUAGAGUAUAAAAUGAUCCAGUCAGAUAUCAUAUUUACAACAGCCUAAAUUUGAGAUGAAGUAUAUUGCUGUCAUUGUUCUGAUUUGCUGUCAUCCCCCUUAAAUAAUCAUAAAUCAUUUCACAUUUUGUUGGUGGAACAAAUGUUAUAACCUCACAAACUCUUAAGGCAACAGAGCACUGUUAUGCAAAGUCAGGCUAUCCAAGGAAAAGCCCCCCCCCCCCCCCCCACUAUCCUUAGUUGUGAGCAUUUUAGAUGCAUUAUAAGGUCUUUGUAAUGCAUAACAAUUGACUCAAAAGGUCAGCUAUCUACAUAUUCAUUAGAAAGACGGUAAAAAACAAAAGGACAGGAAUGAAAGCAUUCAGGGAUACCCAACUUAUAUUGGGUGAUGUACAUAAAUAGGAAAGAAUAUCAGAGACAAUAGUAUGACAUGAAAGAAGCAAAGACACAUAACACCCUAAAACAUUUAGCGAAAACAGAACAAAUAAAUAGUAGAAAUGAUUGCAACAUGUUUAAUUCAAACGGAACAAUGUCUUGCGGCUGAUCCAUUUAUUUUGCGUUUACCACCCAUGAUCAUGGCUGUGCCUCCUCCCUCCCUCGCUCCCUCCCUCUCUCCAUCUCUGUUACCAAACCCCCUAACCACACUUUGACUGCAGCGACGCACCGCCGACAAACUGCGGGUCCCCUCCGUCACAAUGCCAGACUCCAUCGAAGCCAUGCCAGCCCCCUGCCACGUUAUCAAAGAGGACGUUAACAAAUGUGUCAGGGAGAAGGGAGCGGAAGGCUGUAAAGAUCUGAUAGAUGCCUUACUGGCCUGUAUAAAAACCCUGUCUGAGGGAUCAUGAUAAAGGAAGUGCACAUUAAACAAAUCAUUUCUUUCCUUGCUUUUUGCACUGGAGCGAACCAUCUGAAAAUCUGAAGAGGGGGGUGAAGACUGAGCAUCUUGUUAUCGUGAAUGUUACAUCUCGUUUAUGGACUCACCUGCAACUCGCAUUACACUGGAGCAUAUAAAGGCACAUAAAUAAAAUUCAACAAUAAAUAUAAAGCUUGUCA